rnacentral:lncRNA from 1 species
AAAGGUUGAUGAAGAACAAGGAAAAACCAGCAACAAGAUCCACUAAAAUGGAAGGUAUUCCAACAGAUCUUUCAUAUCAAAACAAUGAAAUCCACUUACUCUUGGCAUUACAAUCCGGUGGAUCUUCAAACAACGACAACGAAAGCUGUUUUUGAGCAACACCAAUAUCGAACAGAAUUAGGCCAGACUUCGGAUCAUCGAUAACAAUGU